rnacentral:rRNA from 1 species
GACGAACGCUGGCGGCGUGCCUAAUACAUGCAAGUAGAACGCUGAAGAGAGGAGCUUACUCUUCUUGGAUGAGUUGCGAACGGGUGAGUAACGCGUAGGUAACCUGCCUUGUAGCGGGGGAUAACUAUUGGAAACGAUAGCUAAUACCGCAUAACAAUGGAUGACACAUGUCAUUUAUUUGAAAGGGGCAAUUGCUCCACUACAAGAUGGACCUGCGUUGUAUUAGCUAGUAGGUGAGGUAAUGGCUCACCUAGGCGACGAUACAUAGCCGACCUGAGAGGGUGAUCGGCCACACUGGGACUGAGACACGGCCCAGACUCCUACGGGAGGCAGCAGUAGGGAAUCUUCGGCAAUGGGGGCAACCCUGACCGAGUAACGCCGCGUGAGUGAAGAAGGUUUUCGGAUCGUAAAGCUCUGUUGUAAGUCAAGAACGGGUGUGAGAGUGGAAAGUUCACACUGUGACGGUAGCUUACCAGAAAGGGACGGCUAACUACGUG